GUCGCUGGUGUUCCUUCCGCCGCUGGCUCUGAAUCCCCAGGUGGCACCUGCAGCACACAAGCCAUGAGCCACAGAUCACUCCAGGCCCCAGACCGCAAACCUAAUGGUCUCAGGGGUACUCAGACUACAGACUCUGCUUCUUCCAGCCUCACAGGUGGCCCAGCAGCUGGAGGAACGGUUAUAUGGCAGCACUAACCCUAUCCAUCUGGGUCCCAGGCGGGUUCCAGAAAGCUUACCGCACCGUUCUCCAGGAAGGUAUCUCUUGGGAGAGAAGACACCAACUCUUCUCCCGGACUUGCUCCCAAAGUCGGUGUCACCUCCUGUCACGCCAUAUCUGCCCUAAGAGCCUCGGAUCAUGAAAUACACGGGGGUGAAAGCAGCAACGCCACGUGUCCUCAUGGAGCACAGUCUCAAGAAAGCUGGGCCUGGUCUAUGGUCUGCGGGAAUGGCCAGUCUUGAGCAAGUCACCUCCCAUGGCUGGGCCCCGCUAUUCCCAUCACAGGAGGGGCAGGCAGGAGGGAUCUCCAAGCCUCUGUCAACAUCUUAUAACUUUGUCUUUCUUCAGGUGAGUGACCUCACAGAGCACAAAGGAUGGCCUAGCAUCUUUAUAAACAAUAAUGCCUCAUGUUUGUGUGACAUUCACUUGUGCCAGGCUCUAUUAUGGGCAUUUGGCACAUAUUACCUCAUUUAAUCCUCACAACACCCCUAUGAGGUAGCUGCAAUAUUACCUACUAAUUAUUCAUUUUACAGGUGCAGUAUUACCUACCAAUAUUCAUUUUACAGACAGCAAACUGAAGCACUGAGGUUAAAACAUUCGCCUUGCUCUUCCCAGCUAAGUAGCUGAGCAGGGCUUCAAGCCCAGGCAGUCUGGCUUUGGGGCCAGUGCUGUUGACUGCUCCUGCCCACGCACCUCCCAGAGGUAGACCAUGUGUCUCCUUACUUCUGAACUCAGUCCAACUUGCCUGACAGUGGGGAAGAAAGGAGUUUGCCCAAAACACCUGGGCUCCCUUCCAGCUCUGCCACCUGGCUGUGUUACCUUGAGGGACAUUUCCUAACUUCUCUGAGCCUUAGUUUCCUCAUGUAUAAAAUGCCUAGACCAGAGUAGAACCCAGGACAUGAUGGACGAAUGAAUGCAUACCAUAGUGCCCCCUCAGAGGGUCACAGGGGCCUUAAAUAAGACCAUGCCUGUGAGCACAGACAGGAGGUUAGAAGUCACCAUGCAGAUGGCAGCCAUUACUGCUCCCUGAGGUGCCCUGUUCCUGUGUUCCCUCCAGCCCACUCUGCUUAUAUCUUUCUAGUUCUAUCUCCUUUCCUUACUUUGUAAGCCAUGGAAUUGUUUAAAGCUCCUGUUCCCUCCAGCAGAAGUAUCUAGUCCUCUGAGCACAGCUUUCUGAGGGAGACACGGUUGUCAUCUUCUUUUUCCUGCUGGCUCGUCUGAGGCUCAGAAAGACUAAGUGACUUCCCUGAAGCCACACCGUCAGUCAUGGUUCAGGAAAAUCAGAGAAGGUCUCGUCCAAACUAUGUUGCCCCUCUGAGGUUGGCUAUGGCUCUGCCCAAGACUGGCUGGGGUAGAAAAUAAGUGAUUUCUACAAGGGGCAGGGGGCUAAACAUUCACCUAUCUGGGCCCACAGUCUCCAGCUGCUUCUUAUGACACUGUCAGAAACAGCACUGAAAUCUCUGAUUGUGGAUAACAAACCACCUUCAAAGCCCCAAACAGGGGUAAGCUCAUGUUUUGUGGGGUCUGAGGCUUAGAGAACCCUUCUUUAAGGAAAAUGGUAAAUUCUACCAAACAGAGUAGAAAUUGCACCAACUGUACACAAUCUUUUCCAGAAAAUAAAAAAGGAAGAAACACUUCCCUAUUCAUUUUAUGAGGCCGGCAUUACUCUGAUACAAAAGCCAGUCAAACACAGUACAAGCAAAUAAAACUACAGACAACAUCUCCCAUAAACAUAGAUGCAAAAAUCUUCAACAAAAUAUUAGCAAAUUAAAUCCAGUAAUAUAUGGAAAGAACAAUGUACCAGAACCAACUGGGGUUUAUCCUGGGAAUGAAAGGCUGGUCCAAUAUUCAAAAAUCAAUCAAUGUAAUCUAUGACAUUAAUAACCACACAUCAUAACAAUUGAUACAGAAGUAAAAGGUAACACAAUUCAACAUCCAUUAAUUUUCUCAGCAAACUAGAAAUAGAAGGGAACUUCCUUAACCUUAUGUAGAUAAAGGGCAUUUAUGGAAACUCCCAGUUAUCUUCCUUAAUGAUAAAAGACUGAAUGCUUUUGUCUUAAGAUCAAGAACAGGGUUAUGAUGUCUACACACACCACUCCUAUUCAACAUCAUACUAGAAGUCCUGUUCAGUGCAGUAAGUCAAGAAAAAUAAAUACAGAAAGUAUAUGCAGAUUGCAAAGGAAGAGGUAAAACUGUCCCUAUUUGUAAAUGACAUGAUUGUCUAGAUUGAAAAUCCUAAGCAAUCCUAAGCAAGAAGCUCAUAUAAAUAAUUAGUUAAUUUAGCAAGGUAUCACAAUACAGGGUCAGCCUGUAAAAGUCAAUUGCGUUUCUAUAAAUGAUUAAUGAAUAAUUGAAAAUUUAAAAAUUAAAAAUAUAUACCACUUAAAUUAGCUCCGAAAAUGAAAUUCUUAGAGACAAAUCUACUGAAACAUGCAGGAUUUGUAUGCCACAGCUGCAAGAUGCUAAUAAAAGAAAUCAAAGAAAACCUAAAUGAUACAGAGACAUACCAUGUUCAGGGAUUGGAAGAUGCAAUAUAGUAAGAUGACAAUUGCCCUCAAAUUAAUCUACAGAUGUAACACAGUUCCAAUAAAAACCCAAGUGGAAUUUUUUUUUAAAUACAGACAAGCCAAUUCUAAAAUUUAUAUGAAACUAGAAUAGUCAAAACAAUUCUAAAAGUGAAUAAAUUUGAAGAACUCACACUACUCGAUUUUAGGAUUUACUAUAAAGCUACAGCACAGUGUAGCAUUGGCCAAGAGAGAAACAUAGAUCAGCAGAACAGAAGAGUCCGGAAGAAGACCCAUAUAAUUAUGGCCAAUUGGUUUUUUACAAAGGGAUAAAGACAAUUCAAUGUUGAUAGUCUUUUCAACAAAUGAUGUAGUAAUAAUAAGUCAUUCAUAUGCAACAACUAACUUAAAAUGUAUCAUAGGUUAACGUGUAAAACCAUAAAACUUUAAGAAGAAACUGCAGGAGUGGUUCUGUACCUUGUAUCAGACAAAGAGUUCUUAAAUGACAGCAAAGGCAUGAUCCAUAAAAAAAACAAAAAAGAUAAACUUUAUCAAAAUUAAAAGCUUUUGCUCUGUGAAUGACAUUGUUAAGAGAAUGAAAAGACAAGCUACAGAUUGGGAGAAAAUAUUUGCAAAUCACAUAUCAGACAAAGAACUUGUAGCUAGAAUAAACAAAGAACUCUUAAAGCUCACUAGAAAAAAACAAUCCAAUUUUUUAAAUGGGCACAAGAUUUGAACAGAUAUUUUACCAAAGAGGAUACACAAUAGCAAAUAAACAUGGGGAGAAGGGAGCUCAACGUUACAAGUAAAUAGGGAAAUGUAUAUUAAAAUCACAGUGAAAAAAACCCCACAAUGAGAUAGUACUUCAUAUCUGUUAAAAUGGCUAAAUAAAAACACUGACACUAUCAAGUGCUGUCACGAAUACAGAGCAACUAGAAUGCUCAUAUAUUGCAGUGGGAAUGCAAAUGCUUCUGACACUCUGGAAAACAGUGGACAGUCUCUCAUAAAGUUAAACAUACUCUCCACAUAUGACCCAUAGUUCCCUUUCUAGGUAUUCUAGAAAUGAAGACUUAUGUCCACACAAAAAUGUGUGCACAAAUGUUUUAGCAGUUAUUUUCUUUUUCUUUUUUUUUUUUAUUAUACUUUAAAUUUUAG
rnacentral:lncRNA from 1 species